ACGUGCGUCAGGCCCCGACUUUUCGGAAGGGGUGUGCUUAUUAGAUUUAAACCCAUGCCCGCAAGGGUCUGUUGGUGAUUCAUAGUAAUCAUUCGGACGUCGAGUUUUCGACGCGAUUCAUUCAAAUUUCUGCCCUAUCAGCUUUUGAUGGUAGUGUAGUGGACUACCAUGGCGUUCACGGGUAACGGGGAAUUAGGGUUCGAUUCCGGAGAAGGAGCCUGAGAAACGGCUACUACAUCCAAGGAAGGCAGCAGGCGCGCAAAUUACCCACUCCUGACCCAGGGAGGUAGUGACAAGAAAUCCUGAUGCUGAGCGCUCUCAUGUGCUUAGUAAUCGGAAUGAGAGGUAGUUAAAUCUCGCUAUCGAAUGCUAAAAGAGGACAAGUCUGGUGCCAGCACCCGCGGUAAUUCCAGCUCUUUUAGCGUACAUUAUCAUUGUUGCAGUUAAAAAGCUCGUAGUUGGAUUUUUUCUUCUAGUUGCUCGGUUCUCCGCGGCGGCAUUUGUCGUCGUGUGAGAGCUGGCCGGAGACAUUUCUCGUCGUUCGUCGUGGCAACACGGCGGAAGGCGAAAUUACUUUGAGAAAAAUAGAGUGUUCCAAGCAGGCGUCACGCCACGAAUACUUCAGCAUGGAAUAAAACCAACGGGCUUUCGUCCUUUUGGUGGGUUCUGGACCAAGUCAUGAUUGAUAGGGACGGUUGGGGGUGCUCGUAUUCCGGGGCCAGAGGUGAAAUUCUUGGAUUCUCGGAAGACGAACAACUGCGAAAGCAUUCACCAAGGACGUUUUCUUUAAUCAAGAACGAAAGUUGGGGGAUCGAAGACGAUCAGAUACCGUCGUAGUCUCAACCAUAAACGAUGCCAACUGAGAAUUCUUUCCAGUCUCUCGUGGGACACGUGCCGCAAGGUAACGGCCCACGAAUCGACGGAAGGGGCGCUCUGUGAGAAAUCAAAGUUUUCGGGUUCCGGGGAGAGUAUUGUCGCAAGGCACAAAUUUAAAGGAAUUGAUGGGAGUUUAUCAUCGGGAAUGGAUUGUGCGGCUCAAAUUGACCCAACACGGGAAAACUUACCAGGUCCGUACAGAGUGAGGAGAAACAGACUGAAGUUCUUUUUUGAUUCUUUGGGUGGUGGUGCAUGGCCGUUCUUAGUUGGUGGUGUGGACUGUCUGGUUAAUUCCGUUAACGAACGAGACUUCUACCCC
rnacentral:rRNA from 1 species